rnacentral:rRNA from 1 species
UACAGAGGUGGCAAGCGUUGUUCGGAAUUACUGGGCGUAAAGGGCGCGUAGGCGGCCCGUCAAGUCCCGUGUGAAAGCCCCCGGCUCAACCGGGGAACGGCGCGGGAAACUAGCAGGCUUGAGUUCGGGAGAGGGAAGCGGAAUUCCCGGUGUAGCGGUGAAAUGCGCAGAUAUCGGGAGGAACACCGGUGGCGAAGGCGGGUCUCUGGGCCGAUACUGACGCUGAGGUACGAAAGCGUGGGGAGCAAACAGG